UCGAAAAGAAUAUUGCCAAGCGACUGUUCUUGCUGCUGCAACAUUCUUCCCGUUAUGCGCAAUCAACUUUGCCUGCAUAUUUAUUGGAGGCCAUAUCUCAGUGCAACGGCGAAGAUGGCGGCGGCGGCGGCGACGGUGGCAGCGACGGCGGUGACGGCGCCCAUUCACCAACACAAAACCAAAAUAAUAAGUGCACGCGAUUAAAUGAAAAAAUAUAUUGCUUUUAAUGUUAGUUGGGUUGCGUCUGUUUACUUUCUACAUUUUAUGGCACUCUUGUUUGCACUGUUGUUGAUAUUGAUAGCGAUGUUAACCUACAGCUGGUCAACAUUAGCAUUUUAUUGCGUUAAAUCACGUUCCAAUCAAUUAUAUUUGUUUUGUUUUUGGCA